GACGGAAGGUGCAAGCGUUGCUCGGAAUUACUGGGCGUAAAGAGCUCGUAGGUGGUUUGUCGCGUUGUUCGUGAAAACUCACAACUCAAUUGUGGGCGUGCGGGCGAUACGGGCAGACUGGAGUACUGCAGGGGAGACUGGAAUUCCUGGUGUAGCGGUGGGAUGCGCAGAUAUCAGGAGGAACACCGGUGGCGAAGGCGGGUCUCUGGGCAGUAACUGACGCUGAGGAGCGAAAGCGUGGGGAGCGAACAGG
rnacentral:rRNA from 1 species